UUAAAAAGGUCAAGCUACAAAGGGCGCAUGGUGAAUGCCUUGGCAUCAGGAGCCGAUGAAGGACGUGAUAAGCUGCGAUAAGCUUCGGGUAGGCGCACAUAGCCAGAGAUCCGGAGAUUUCCGAAUGGGGAAACCCGCAUGAGAAACCUCAUGCAUCGUAAAGUGAAUACAUAGCUUUAUGAAGGAACACCUAGGGAACUGAAACAUCUAAGUACCUAGAGGAAGAGAAAGAAAAAUCGAUUUUCUUAGUAGCGGCGAGCGAAAAGGAAAGAGCCCAAACCAGAGAUUUAUCUCUGGGGUUGCGGACAGAACAUAACGUGAAAUUAUGAUUAACCGAACACAACUGGAAAGUUGGACCGUAGGAGGUAAUAGUCCUGUAAGUAAAAGUCAUAAUGAUCAGUUCUGCACCAGAGUACCACGAGACACGUGAAACCUUGUGGGAAGCAGGGAGGACCACCUCCCAAGGCUAAAUACUACCUGAUGACCGAUAGUGAAGCAGUACCGUGAGGGAAAGGUGAAAAGAACCCCGGGAGGGGAGUGAAAUAGAACCUGAAACCAUGUGCCUACAACCGAUCAAAGCACCUUAUGUGUGUGAUGAUGUGCUUUUUGUAGAACGAGCCAACGAGUUACGGUAUGUAGCGAGGUUAAGUACUUAAGGUACGGAGCCGAAGGGAAACCGAGUCUUAAUAGGGCGACUAGUUGCAUGCUGUAGACCCGAAACCGGGUGACCUAUCCAUGGCCAGGUUGAAGCGAGGGUAAAACCUCGUGGAGGACCGAACCACGUUGCUGUUGAAAAAGCAUGGGAUGAGCUGUGGAUAGCGGAGAAAUUCCAAUCGAACUCGGAUAUAGCUGGUUCUCCUCGAAAUAGCUUUAGGGCUAGCGUCGUGAAAUGUGAGUACUGGAGGUAGAGCACUGAAUAGGCUAGGGGGCAUAGCGCUUACCGAACCUUAUCAAACUCCGAAUGCCAGAUACUAUCAGCACGGCAGUCAGACUAUGAAAGAUAAGUUCCAUGGUCAAAAGGGAAACAGCCCAGAUCGUCAGCUAAGGUCCCAAAGUGUAAGUUAAGUGGAAAAGGAUGUGGGAUUUCUAAGACAACUAGGAUGUUGGCUUAGAAGCAGCCACUCAUUAAAAGAGUGCGUAAUAGCUCACUAGUCAAGAGAUCCUGCGCCGAAAAUGUCCGGGGCUCAAACUUACCACCGAAGCUACGGGUUCAUACUUUGUAUGAGCGGUAGAGGAGCGUCGUAAUCGGGCUGAAGUCGUACCGUAAGGAGCGGUGGACUGAUUACGAGUGAGAAUGUUGGCAUUAGUAGCGAGAUGUAGGUGAGAAUCCUACAGGCCGAAUAUCUAAGGUUUCCUGAGUAAAGUUUGUCUUCUCAGGGUUAGUCGGGACCUAAGGCGAGGCCGAGAGGCGUAGUCGAUGGACAAUUGGUUGAUAUUCCAAUACCACUAUAAUCGUUAUUAUCGAUGGUGUGACGGAGAAGGAUAGGAUGUGCCAGCUAUUGGAUGCUGGUCUAAGCGUUGAGGGAGUUAGAACAGGCAAAUCCGUUCUAACAAUCCUAGGGCGUGAUGGGGAAGGUUCUACGGAACCGAAGUAUCUGAUUUCAUGCUUCCAAGAAAAGCAUCUAGAAAGAGAAGUAGUGCCCGUACCGCAAACCGACACAGGUAGAUGAGGAGAGAAUCCUAAGGCCGACGGAAGAAUCACAGUUAAGGAACUAGGCAAAUUGACCCCGUAACUUCGGGAGAAGGGGUGCCUACCAUUUGGUAGGCCGCAGAGAAUAGGCACAAGCAACUGUUUAACAAAAACACAGGUCUCUGCUAAAG
rnacentral:rRNA from 1 species